AAGUACCUUGACUCCUUACUUGGAUGU
rnacentral:piRNA from 1 species